rnacentral:lncRNA from 1 species
CAUCCUGACAAACAGAACUCCUUCAGGUUGUAUUUAUUCCACAACCGGCAUCACAUGUUAUGUGUCUUUCUCCUGUCAGUCGUGCUCAUGCAACACUUAAAUGCAUUUUAAUAUGAAUCUAGCCUAAAGAAGGGAGAGGCUGCUAGAUGGCAAAUUGGCAUCAGCAUCGGCAUGAAGCUUUCAAAGUCGCUGAGCUUUACAUAGGCUCGCCGAAUGUAAUGCACAAUGGCCAAAGAGUAUGAUAUCAAAGAGGAAGAAUCGGAUGGGAUUCAUGAACCUCGUCUGGGUACGUGUGGCGAGGAGCAAGAACAAGCAGGUGUGGACCCGAUUCGCAAAACGGAAUUGAUCGAUGGGCUGUCAACACGGCGUGAAACAGCGCGGGCGUGUGGGGAGGCUACGCCGACAGAAGAAGAUAUAGAAGAGACAACCAUACAAGUUAUAAUAAAGAGAAGAUAUAGAAGAGUCAACCAUACAAGUUAUACUAAAGAGAAGAUAUCGAAGAAGAUGGAGAAGAAUAUGACGAUUCUCCUAAUCAUUACCACAACAGCUGCUACACUCCAGCAGAAGAACGAGACACGACGCAGAACCAAUCCAGGCCCUUCCAGUGCCCGGACUGCGACAAACGUUUCAAGUUCCCCGCAUCGCUCCAGAGGCACCUGAGAAUUCACACGGGGGUAGAUCUCCACAACUGCUCCCAGUGUGGCAAGACCUUCACCCUGCCGACCUACCUGGAGAUCCACCUGAGGACGCAUGCAGGCACACGCCUGUCGCCCUAUGAGUGCUCGCAGUGUGAAAAGCCAUUCGCUCGCCUGCGUGACCUGCGGAUGCACCAGAACAAGCUGAACGAUGUGAAGCCCAUUCACUGCCCCUUACUGCGCGAAGGUGAGUGUGUUCAAGUCAUUCCAGAAUUAUACAGAUCUAGAAUUUACGUUAACUGCCAUUUAUAACCAAAACACACAGUGGACUCUUGUUCCUGCCUCUAAAUUCAUUAAAAGGGCUUUAACCCUUUGAGGAGAGAGUUUUUUUUGCAAGACAUUCCAGAAUUACUGCCAUUCAUAACGGUCAUUUGAGUUCAUUAUUACAUCAUCAAAUGGAACCUUCAGCUAGCAGCAUUCUGAAAUAUUCUAACCGUUUACAUAUUCCAGGUGUUCAGUCGCACCACGUGCAUCAAGUACCACCGAGGGAAACAUCCGGAAGGGACGCAGCAUGUGUGCUCCCACUGCGGGAAGUUGUUCAACAGCGCGACGCACCUUCGGGACCACCAGAGGAUUCACACUGGGGAGAAGCCGUAUCGGUGCUCGACGUGUGGCGCAGCUUUUACCCGUCCGUCGCAGCUCACCAUCCACGAGAGGACGCACACGGGCGAGAAGCCCUUCAGGUGCUGCCAGUGCGGCCGGACGUUCCGACGCAAGUCGGAGCUGAAGACUCACAAGAACACGCACGUGGGCCCGCUGGCCCCACAGCCCUGCCGCUGUGCGGAGUGCGAUAAGAUUUUCACGCCGGCCACGCGGCUGAACUCUAUGGAGAGGAGGCCUCACAAGUGCCAGCAGUGCGAGAAGACGUUUGUGCGCCUGGCACACCAGAAGCCUCGCAGCUGCAGUCUCACCACCAGAGGGCGCACCAGAAGGCGAGCAGCGCCUACGCGUGCUGCCAAUGCCAA